AUACUUACCUGGCAGAGGAGACACCAUGAUCAAGAAGGCAGUUCACUCAGGGCGAGGCUUUUCCAUUGUGCUCCAGCCAUGCUGAAACCAAUAAAUUCCCCAAAUGUGAGAAUCUCGACUGCAUAAUUCAUGGUAGUGGGGGACUGUGUUUGCGCUUUCCCCUG